rnacentral:rRNA from 1 species
UUGUCUCAAAGAUUAAGCCAUGCAUGUCUCAGUACAAGCCAAAUUAAGGUGAAACCGCGAAAGGCUCAUUAAAUCAGUUAUGGUUCCUUAGAUCGUACCCACACUUACUUGGAUAACUGUGGUAAUUCUAGAGCUAAUACAUGCAAACAGAGCUCCGACCGGAGACGGAAGGAGCGCUUUUAUUAGAUCAAAACCAAUCGGUGCUGGGUUCGCUCGGCAUCGUAUAACUUGGUGACUCUGAAUAACUUUAAGCUGAUCGCACGGUCUAGCACCGGCGACGCAUCUUUCAAAUGUCUGCCUUAUCAACUGUCGAUGGUAGGUUCUGCGCCUACCAUGGUCGUAACGGGUAACGGGGAAUCAGGGUUCGAUUCCGGAGAGGGAGCCUGAGAAACGGCUACCACAUCCAAGGAAGGCAGCAGGCGCGCAAAUUACCCACUCCCGGCACGGGGAGGUAGUGACGAAAAAUAACGAUACGGGACUCAUCCGAGGCCCCGUAAUCGGAAUGAGUACACUCUAAACCCUUUAACGAGGAUCAAUUGGAGGGCAAGUCUGGUGCCAGCAGCCGCGGUAAUUCCAGCUCCAAUAGCGUAUAUUAAAGUUGUUGCGGUUAAAAAGCUCGUAGUCGAAUUUGUGUCCCGCACCGCCGGUUCAUCGUCCGCGGUGUUAACUGGCGUGCCGCGGGACGUCCUGCCGGUGGGNUUAGCUCUUCGGGGCGGCCCAACUCAAUCCCGCCGCGGUGCUCUUAACUGAGUGUCGAGGUGGGCCGGCACGUUUNCUUUGAACAAAUUAGAGUGCUUAAAGCAGGCUAGAACUUCGCCUGAAUACUGUGUGCAUGGAAUAAUGGAAUAGGACCUCGGUUCUAUUUUGUUGGUUUUCGGAACCCCGAGGUAAUGAUUAAUAGGAACGGAUGGGGGCAUUCGUANUGCGACGUUAGAGGUGAAAUUC